rnacentral:rRNA from 1 species
GACAGAGGUGCCGAGCGUUAGGCGGAAUCACUGGGCUUAAAGCGUGUGUAGGCGGAUCGUUAAGUACCUUGUGAAAAUCCUCGCGCUUAACCGUGGAACUGCUGGGUAUACUGGCGAUCUUGAGCCACCUAGGGGCAACCGGAACAAAUGGUGGAGCGGUGAAAUGCGUAGAUAUCAUUUGGAACGCCAAUGGUGAAGACAGGUUGCUGGGGGUGUGCUGACGCUGAGACACGAAAGCCAGGGGAGCAAACGGG